UUCUGAAGCUCUGCUCACCAGUGGAUGCAAGAAGAUGCAAACAAGAAGUUGUAUUUUCUGGAUUCGACUUCCAGGCAUAACUGUCAAGUGUCGAGCAGCCCAGUAUUGCCCCAUGGGUAUAUACUGCCUUGGCCCCAUGCAGUUUUCCUAAGGAUCAUCAGGAAAGUAAGGAGUGGCGAGGAAGAGGCUGUUCUACCCUGGUCAGACACGCAGCAAAGCUGACACAGCCAGCAGAGCUCUGCAACAGCAAUGGGUCUGCUACCACUUGGUUGAAAGCAUCCUGGCUUCUGGAACGAUAAGACUGGGCUGCAGCAGCAGCUGCAGCUCUGUUGGCGCUGUUGGUUGACGAGUGACAGUCUAAGUCGGCCUCGGUUGUCGGCUAAAGGCCGCCGCGGCGCCUAGUGUGGUGAUGGCUGCAAUGUCUGA